UGUGGCAAUUGGUUGAUCGCUGCGACUUAGUGUGUCGUAGAGGAAAGUCCGGGCUUCAUGUAAGCAGGGAGCCGGAUAACGUCCGGCGUUGGAGAUUUAGAUGUCUUCGAUAGGGAAAGUGCAACAGAAAGUAUACCGCCUGAAAUAUUUAGGUAAGGGUGAAAUGGUGAUGUAAGAGCUCACCGCAUGGAUUGGUAACAAACAUGGCGCGGCAAACCCCUCCCGAAGCAAGACCAAAUAGGAAUGGUACGGAUGACGUCUCGCCAUCUACAUGUGCUUACACAUAUCACUAUUCGGGUAGGUCGCUUGAGCUUAUUGGUAACAAUGAGCCUAGAUGAAUGAUCAAACAGGGGAAAAAUCCCCGGACAAAACCCGGCUUAUAGAUUGUCACGCUUU
rnacentral:RNase_P_RNA from 1 species